UGGUCCCUGGCAGCUGUUUUUGGAGUGCAGCUGAAAGAAAGAAAGAAAGAAACAAACCCGGUCAAGAAUUACCAACAUGGCGACGAUAAUUCCUACAAAUACUGAGUGAUGUAGUGGAUGGCUGGAAAGAAGAGAGGCAGCUUGAUGGACGAAGCGGCAGCUUCUGGUGCUACCGGCCUCACCAUCUCUCUCCUAAGCGCCCUCACUUCACUCCCCAGAUUGUCGUGCUGUUUUCCUUGGGGGGGGGUGGUGCCUCGUCAUCAGUGUCCACACCUUGAAGCAUAUUUAACUCUAAAGGUCUGCACCUUCAAAAAAGUGUUGCGGCGGGCCCGUAGUGGUCUGGACUCUUCCAGCUGGCUCCUGCAGGGUCUUCAGCCUCUGACUGUAUGUCUGAUGUUAAACACAGUAAGGACUUUUUCAGCUAACCAAGACCCUCACGUCACCGUGCACGUCCCACGCUGCACCUGGAGGAAGGUGGUGCGCGACUGCCUUCUGGAGGCGGUUAUGAUCGUAAGAACUAGGAGGCCAGAAACAAUUCCAUGACUCCCCUGCCUCCUCCAACCAGCUGCUUGGCACUAUGAAGACAAGGAAUUAGGAUUGGUGAAGAAGAGGGAUGGCAACAUAAUGGUUUUGGUCUGGAAAAAGCACACAUUUUCUGCUGACAUCCCCAAGGAGCUCAACCUCAAGAUCAUCUACCAACGUAUGGACCUGAAAACAGCCUAUUCGAGAGGAGGGGCAGGGAUAUGUGAAAUGGGAUUCCUUGUACCCAAAUCGUCUGUAGAUGAUGAAGACUGAACCAGAGGAUAGCACAAUGUUUUGGACCAGUCCAAUAUCCUGUCCUACUGCUAUGCAGUUGUUCCCAGUCUUUGUUGACAGGCAGAAAUCUGUUGUUACUACCUUUCUGUACUGUUUGGCAGUACUGAAUUGCAGAGGCAAAGGACCAUCCUUGUGCAUUUCGUACAAAAGGGGCUGCUUACUUGGAGGUGGAGUAACAGUUUGAGGCACCUCUGACAGUCUCUUGACUACCUGUUGUAAUGGUAGUUGAGGCUUUCGCAACAUUUUUUUUACUUUUCCAAGGAAGUUUUCAUAAGGAAAUGCAGAGACACGGUCAAGGGCACCAAACUGUUUGUACACAUCAGCUAGAUGUAUCACCUGAUGAACUGUAAAUACAAUUUCUCCUUGACCAUAUAAAUCUCCAAAGCUUUUAACAAAUGCUGUUAGGACUCGAUUGGCAAAAUCAAUCAUGGGUGCAGAGAGGUUGGGGCUGAGUAAUAAGAACACACCCACGGAAAACAACAGGAAGUUCUCAAAAAUCUCUUCUGGUAGAUUGUGCUUUAGGACCACAGGUCCACUGUACAUCAUGAACUGCCUUAGUUCUGUAGCCUUCCAUCUUUCGAUCUCUGUCAGCUCUCGUGGUUUUCGGGCAAAUUCAGAUGGAAUAUGGGGACGGAGAGCAAUCAGUUUAGAUGAUAUAGCUGAGAUGACAUUAGAUGGCUGUCUUAUGGCCAGGUUUUUGCCCUUCAUCCAGAAAAUAAUGAGUUUUUUUGUUACACCCAAACAGCAGAGGUGCAUGUAAUCAAUGGGAAACUGGGUUACCAUCUGAACAAUGCCAGUAAGGGGACUAGGUCGCAGGUGGUGAUCUGUGUCUGACAUUAAAGCAAAGUCUUCGUCUGAUCUAAGCCUGGCAUUUAUUUCAGGAUAUGUCAUUUUAUUUUGCCACACGCCAACUUGAUUGCACUUGUCACACCCAGAGUACCCAUUGUGGGACUUCAUCUGUUUCACAAAAGCACGUGCUGGAGCAUCACAAAUGAACGAGCACACCAUCACCUUUAGAGGUUUACCUCUGAAGGUCAAUCCAUUCCUCAGUAGCUGGGUAAGGUCAUUGACAAAUUCUUUGAGGUAGUCAUACACACUAGAUGGUUUUCCAGUUCCACAAAACAAACCAAUAAUAAAAGGUUUUUUUGUGUAAUCACAAUCAAGCAUCGCAAGAAUUGGCCAAAACUGAACUUUGGAACUCUUAAAAAUGGGUAAACCGUCGAUGUUGAAUUGUAACCGAAUUGUCUGAAGGCAGCUAGGCAAAUGGAUUGAAUUCAAUUUUGAUAAAAUUCCCUUAGCCAAUCCAAAAUGGUGAUAUUCACCACCACCUAAUGCAUGCACAGCUAUUUUCUUUUGUGUGCCAAGAAGUGUCCUGGCAUCUUUAGGCAGCUCAGAGUGGUGUACUCUCAAUAUUGAUAGAAGAGCGGUAACUGCAACAAGAGUAAUGCCAAAAGUUGAUGCCCAUUGCUUUAGUUUAGCUUGUAAACUCAUUUCAUCAGGCUCACUUUCAUCAGAGCUGGAUAACCCACUAAAAUCCUCUCUUUCACUGGCAUCACUGUCUGUAGUGUUUUGGUCAGGACUGUUCUCGAAUUCUGAAGUUGUCCCACACAGUGCUAGAUCUGGUAAGCUAGGGGGGGCAUUUUCAGCCUGAUUAACUGUACUUAAAUGUAAUUGCUGCAAAAUCUCGUUCUCUGUCUCCCUUGCGUUGGACAAGACUCGCCUCCUUUUACUCCAAUAAGAGGCCAUCUCUGUGUGUAUCGGAUACAAUUAUGAAAUGCAAGUUUGAUACCUUUUCUGCCGUGAGUUUUGAAUGGUCUUCAGUGUCCCAUAAAUAUGCAAAUGAAGAAGAAAAAAAACACAAAGUUAGUUUUGAUGGCAUAGUGUGACAACAAUGAAUAGUUGCAUUUAACCCUUUCACAUGCAAGUGAAGAAUCCCCCUUCUAAUAAUGUAUAGCCUAUUAAGGACCUAUUUCAGGAUAAAUAUACAAAUACAUUCACUUUGAAGUGUAGAAGGUCCUACAGACAGCUGUAAUAAACUAAGAUAUACUAUUUAUGAGAUGGCUUGCAGUGUGCUUAUCUGACAGGAUUAAAACCGUGCAUUCGGUGUGAAUGUGUAUUUGAAUGUUAACAUUUAAUAACAUGUCGUUUUUAGUUAUGUAAUCAUUUGAAAGUCCCUUCAAGUUGAAAAAGCACAUGCAUUCUUAUUAUGGCCACACCUAGCGUACUAGUAAAUCAACUGUGAUCAGAUUGGUUAAAAAAAUAGAGGCUGCGUGUGAUUUCAGUUCCGGUUCAAUGCAUUUGUAAUGAGGGGGCGCACUUCUGUGCAGUGUGCACAAGUCGUCGUUGCCAGCAGGCUGCACCCGACAGCCAAGGGAUUUACAUGUGGCAUAGCAAGUCUCUGAAGCAGUGUCUCACACUCGAGUCCUGACCGAGGGCCUUGAAACUGGCAUGCCUGUUCAAAACAUCUCCAGGACAACAAGAAGAUGAAGGAGAAUGCGUGCAGUGGGCUGAAUGGAGAAUUCCAGAUACCAGAUUUUUUUUUUUUGAAGACUAUUUAUAUAUGGAAUCUGAAUGCACUCCAGGAUAUGCUGCAGUUCUUUGUGCCACAAGAGGCCAAGAAGCUCUACUACAAGACGUUGAGGCAGAAGAUGAAGAUUAUUACAAAUUAUCCAAGUCAGUUCCGACCAAGUAAUUUGAUUGGACAAGAGGCAUUCCAGUGCUGAUGUAGAGUAGCCUGGCGAUGUCAUACUCAUAAUUCUAGUCAGAAUAUGAGUCUGAGACCGAACCAUUGGGUGAUUAUAGGGCGGAACCAGGAAGGAAAAUGCCUCUUCGCUCAAUUGGAUAGACCUAAAACCAAUCAGAGCAACGUAGUAUGUGACGUAUGUUGUGCGAAGCACAGCUAUUCUCAAACUAACUCAACUGAGCGCACGUUCGAAGAAGUAGAAAAAGUAGAUGGACAUAAACGAUUUAUGCCUGUUUUGUAAAAAGAAUUUAAGGAUACACGGACAAAUUGGCAACACGGUCAGCAUUUUUGGGAAAAAAAGUAAAAGCGCUGAGCGCUCUUUGGUGACGUGGUUGAUUACGUUAAUGUGUAUCAUCUGUCCAUCAACGUAUAAAGCCCGCCCUUACAAUUUGAUUGGUCAGAUCACUUUUUGAUCUGACCUAAUACCUCCCAACGAGCUCAAUUCCAGACUGAUUCUCCAGACCAAAUAUUUUGUGGGCGGAGUUCAGGCUGGUAUCCAGGCUAGAUAUAGAGUAUAACAGCACUGGGUCUUUUAACUAUACACGUAUCGCUCCGCUUUACGGGUGUUCUCAUAACCGUUAAUGUUAUUAACAAUCUUUUUGUAGCUUAGAUUGCAGCUAACUUUGCACAGCAAAUAUGAACAUGUUUCCAGGAAUAACAUUGGAGUUGAAUUAAGAAUGGUCGCCAGAAGAGGACCAAGGGAACCUAAUGUAAUGCUAAUGUGUUUAUGUGUUGCUUGGCAACAGUUCAGUCCAGUUGCGGAUCUAUUUGUGUUGGCGGAGCCAAAUAAAUCAUUAAUGAACCAAAGAAAUCUGAUCAUAAUAUGUUAAUUAUUAUUGUUAACUAAUGAUUGGUGCUUGUAGAACUGUUGUAUAAAAGCAAUAUCACUCAGGAGUGAGUGCUGUUGUACUACGGCUGGGAUUCGGUCGUAGGUAUGAGGCCGUUGGCCGAGUGCCGAAGAGAAUCACAGCCGUAGUACAACAGCACUCCCUCUCGUGUGAUGUUGCUUAAUUAUUCUGUUCCAAAAUUCCAUAAAAAGUCUGAUUACUAAGAAAUAUUGAUGUAUCAUUACUUUUGUCAGUUUCAAGUUUUUGUUUUAACACAGGUCUACCAACAAUGUGUAUGAUGUAUGACUACCUGAAAGCAUUUGUCUAUGACCUCACCCAGCUGCUGAGAGAACCUUCAGAGGUAAACCUCUAAAGGUGUGCUCCUUUAUAAGCGAUGCUCCAGCAUGUGAUUUUCUUCAAAACAGUGUGCUAUCCUCUGGUUCAGUCUUUAUCAUCUACAGUUGAUUUAGGUACAAAAAAAGCCCAUUUCACAUAUCCCAUUGAUUAAAUGCACCUCUGCUGUUUGGGUGUAAAUUUUGCCAUCACUAUUUCUUGUUACGGAGAUGAGGACAACUACUUGCCUCUUUCAUGCAUCUCCUUUGUCCACAUCUAUGUUUGGGGAUUGUAAUUUGAAGCCAUUCCUCAAGUGUUUGCUAUGCCUCAUUGUUUAUUAUACUGCAUACUACAUUGGCACACUUGGGAAAAAAUAUAUAUUUUAUUCAAUGUCUUCCCUUCUACAAUGCGGCAGCAAAAUCAUUACAGAUUUUUUUCCCCCACUUUAUUCUGUUUUGGGCAUUUCCUACCAGUGCAAAGAUGUUUAAAUUAGUCACUGAAAGCAGUGUUCUGAAAUAUCAAAAAUAGUUGUAGCCUGUAUGCAUGGCCUUCACAUAUUUUUUGUAAAGCUGUACAUGUCUUUAAAGAUGUUGAUGCGGAUGUUUCCACAUUUACAUUUCUCAGUGCAAAUGGGUUUUUGAAUAAGUUUCUGAAAGUAGUGCUUUGAGAUGUUUGAGAUAACAAACAUUUAAUAUGUUGGAAAUAUUUUUGGUCGCUGUGUCAUAAUUCAGCUCAAUAUUUAAUAUAUUGUUUCUUAUGGCACCUUAACGAGAAAAUGUCAAACUGGCACUGAAUGUUGAAAAGGUUGCUGACCCCUGGUUACUGUAUUCCCGCUCCAUUACAUGUAUGUUCGUUUAUUUCAACUUAACUUGUUUUUCUGUGUUAUUACAACCUUGCAACACAUUUCCAUUAAUGUAGUUUGUUUAUUCCUUAACAGUUUUCCAAAAACACAAUCAAAUGGGUAUUAAAACCUUAAUCUUUUGUCAA